rnacentral:rRNA from 1 species
UAGGGAAUCUUCCGCAAUGGACGCAAGUCUGACGGAGCAACGCCGCGUGAGUGAAGAAGGAUUUCGGUUCGUAAAACUCUGUUGUUAGAGAAGAACAGCGCAUAGAGUAACUGUUAUGCGUGUGACGGUAUCUAACCAGAAAGGGACGGCUAACUACGUGCCAGCAGCCGCGGUAAUACGUAGGUCCCGAGCGUUGUCCGGAUUUAUUGGCGUAAAGCGAGCGCAGGCGGUUAGAAAAGUCUGAAGUGAAAGGCAGUGGCUCAACCAUUGUAGGCUUUGGAAACUGUUUAACUUGAGUGCAGAAUGGGAGAGUGGAAUUCCAUGUGUAGCGGUGAAAUGCGUAGAUAUAUGGAGGAACACCGGUGGCGAAAGCGGCUCUCUGGUCUGUAACUGACGCUGAGGCUCGAAAGCGUGGGGAGCGAACAGG